rnacentral:rRNA from 1 species
AGCAGCCGCGGUAAUUCCAGCUCCAAUAGCGUAUAUUAAAGUUGUUGCAGUUAAAAAGCUCGUAGUUGAAUUUCGGGGUCAGUAGGUUGGUCAUGCCACUGGUAUGUACUGGUCUCACUGAUUCCUCCUUCCUGAUGAGCCGUAAUGCCAUUAAUUUGGUGUUGCGAGGAAUCUGGACUGUUACUUUGAAAAAAUUAGAGUGUUUAAAGCAGGCUAACGCUUGAAUACAUUAGCAUGGAAUAAUGAAAUAGGACGUUCGAUCUUAUUUUGUUGGUUUCUAAGAUUGACGUAAUGAUUAAUAGGGAUAGUUGGGGGCAUUAGUAUUCAAUUGUCAGAGGUGAAAUUCUUGGAUUUAUUGAAGACUAACUACUGCGAAAGCAUUUGCCAAGGAUGUUUUCAUUAAUCAAGAACGAAAGUUAGGGGAUCGAAGACGAUCAGAUACCGUCGUAGUCUUAACCAUAAACUAUAGCCGACUAGGGACGUCGGUAGUGUAUUAGUUUUAAAUUUUUAAUGUACUCAA